rnacentral:rRNA from 1 species
CAUAUUUGAAGGGGGCUGCUCCUAGUACGAGAGGACCGGAGUGGACGAACCUCUGGUGUACCGGUUGUGACGCCAGUCGCAUCGCCGGGUAGCUAUGUUCGGAAGAGAUAACCGCUGAAAGCAUCUAAGCGGGAAACUCGCCUUAAGAUGAGAUAUCCCUGGAGGCUUGACCUCCUUGAAGGGUCGUUCGAGACCAGGACGUUGAUAGGUCGGGUGUGUAAGCGCAGUAAUGCGUUCAGCUAACCGAUACUAAUUGCCCGUAAGGCUUGAUCCUAUAACA